rnacentral:rRNA from 1 species
UACGUAGGGGGCAAGCGUUGUCCGGAAUCAUUGGGCGUAAAGAGCGUGUAGGCGGCCAGAUAAGUCCGCUGUGAAAGUCUCGAAGGCUCAACUUCGAGCUGUCGGUGGAAACUGUCUGGCUAGAGUCCGGAAGAGGAGAAUGGAAUUCCUGGUGUAGCGGUGAAAUGCGCAGAUAUCAGGAAGAACACCCGUGGCGAAGGCGGUUCUCUGGGACGGUACUGACGCUGAGACGCGAAAGCGUGGGGAGCGAACAGG